CACAGAACUUAGGAAAACACUUUUAUUUCCUGGCAUUAUUGAUGUCACAAUAGAUGCAGAAAAAGAAUGUCAUUGUGUGGACUGCCUGGAACAGGACCUUUCCAGGGCUUGAGUCAAGACUUUGCUGAUAAGGAGAGCCACAUGGUCUUCUCUGAGAGAUCAGGGAAUUUAUUUCUGAUCAUCUUCAAGACAGAAAAGAAGGACAAGAUUAGAGUUUCUGUGACCUGUCUUGGAGACAAGUAAUUCUAGUUCUUAUGACCAGCCUUGGGAGUGGAAUUAUGAUCUAGGCACCAUAGUUGAAAAGAGGUGCAUAUAGUCUUUCUCAGGAAAUCAAGUAUUCAAAAUUAAUGUACUUGUUAUAGGGAUACAAUAAAGCUACAGCCAUAUUUUAGGCAGAUAUUCUAUAGUGUCUACUUUCAAAUAGAAAAGGAUAGGACUAAGAAAUAAAUUUAUUUCAUAAACAUUUUUAUGUCAGCGAAAAGCUCAGAGAAAAGUAUAAGUACAAUAGCAUGAAAAACAACAUACAGUCUAGGGUGGAAGAUAGCACCUGUAAUGCGACCAUUCAAAAAACAACCACCUGAGCACUCUGAAUAUGAAGCCAGCAUGGGUGUGUUGAUUAGUGUUUGUCAACUUAAUGUAAACUGAAGGCAUCUGAGAAGAGGGAAUCUCAGUGGAGAAAAUGUCUCCAACAGAUUGGCGUAUAGUGAAACAGAAAGAUCCUUCAGCAGCAUGAGGCUUCUGAGCUGAAUGAGAACCCAGUGACUGUUUCCAAUCAACAAGCUCUCCAAAAAACAGCUUCCAAAUUGCCUUCAGCCCCUCGCUCCAUAGAUAUGCUAGUUGCUUACUAAUGAAGUUGAACUGAAUGGAUCCUUAGCAGUUCUCAUUCACAGAAUGAAAUCGAAGUGCUCUGUGCAUUCAGAAGAACUGCUCCUUACCACAAGAGUUCAGCUAUCAGGUAAGAACCUGAGAAACCUGGAGAAGAUUUCAGAACUUCCACAAGCGCUGAGAUGAGCUCUGGUGGGACAUUUUACAACGAAGAGGAUGCGGAAGAAGAUUGAGAGUGAUUAGACUGUCAACUGAGUCACAACACUUCAAAAGGGCAGGUUUUUAAGUACCUACUAUAUGUAUUGGUCAAGGUAAGCACAUAACACAGGUAUCAUUGUCCUCAGUAUGCACAUUCCUCCUUCCUUGAAAUUUGCAAUGAUAUUUCUUAUUGUUGU